CCAAAUACUUGCUUUUUCUGGCUUGUGACUUUCACUGGCUGCAAGGGUAGAGGAAUCAAGAUGCCAACACUUGUUAACUAAAGUAAGCUAGCUUGAAGAUCUCCCUAACCAUAUUUUCUAGAUUCAAAGCUUAAUUUAGGGUUGUUCAAUAGGUUUUCAUAAAACAUGAAUUCAAACAGAAGUGUUCUUAGACAGUGCAAGUAAUGAGUUUGAGUAAAAGCAUUACUGCUGUGCUCGUACCCCAUUCCCUUGAACCUGACUUCUGACCCAGGAGAUACGGUGAGGACAUCAUAGGUGUGUUCCUUUGUCCUCCGUGUCACCUCAGUGAAUCAGGUCAGAUCACCUGGAUACAAGCAUAUUCUUGCAUAAGAGUGCAUGGUUAUGAGAACAUGAGUGAAAGCAGUUUUGUUUUAAAUAAAUUUGCCCAUGGGAUGUAACACCCAAGAAAAGAGCCCUUUUUGUUUGAGGAAGAGGGAGGUAUAACACUGAAAAGAUACUGCAAAAGGAAAUCAUGAUGCUUUUUUGAGUCUUUUCAUUAGUUUUUUGUUAAGUAGAACCAACACAGAAGGUUUUGAGUACUGCACUCAAAAAGCCAACGUUCUCUCAGUUCUUGUUUAGCUAGAUAAAAAAAAAAAAAGAACCACUUUUUCUUUUGGGCACCGGCUCACAGUAUUUAAGGCACUUUAUGGCUAAGGUUGCUUUAUAAUCUUUAUAACACACAUAGGUGCAAGAUAAAGAGUUAGAAAUGAAUCAUUUAUACAGCUCAUCUGGGACUUCAGCAGAAAAAGUCUGAAAAAUCCAUAGCAGAAACCUGUAGAGACUCUUGCCAAGUUACAGUAGGAGCUGCCAUGGUUGAACAUGCAUGCAAGUUGUCUGAAGAUGGGCGGUCCUAGAAAAAGGAAAGCGUAGCUUAUUGAAUUUAUGAAAAGGACCUUUAUGAAGAGUUGCUGGCAAACACUACAGGAAAGUGUUCAAACAUACCUGAGGCCUGCAAGCUCGCUAACCCAAAAGAGCCGGAGUGCACAUGUCUCAGAGCACAUGAGAUGGAACUGAUUGCUGUAGUCAAGAGCAGAAACUUCCCAUGCCAUCUCACAAACCAUGUGAAUGAAACCGUGUUUGAAAGCAUGACUUGGAUAAGGCUGUAAUACUCGGUUCAGUUCAGUAAGCUGAGCUUUGUAAGUAAAAGCUGGGAAUUACUAGCUUUACUGCCAAGGAAAAGUCCGAACGCUUUUAAUUCUGCUGCCAGAAGGGGCUGUAUUGGCAGGAAACUGGAGAGCUCCUGGCUGACUUUGUUGGAAACCUUGCAACGUUACAGAAACCACCAGCCACCCAGUCUGCUGCAUAUGGGACAUGAACUGUAAUUCACUGCCAUUAUUACCGGUCAAUUAGAGAUGCACCCAUGUGGCUGAGACCUUGAUCUGUGUCUGUGCUGUGUAAGCUGACACAUGCUCUCGCAGGCGCUUGCCAGUUCAGAACUGAGCUCCGUAGAGACCAUCCUCUGCAGGGCUUUCACUGAGGACAAUGAGU
rnacentral:lncRNA from 1 species